rnacentral:rRNA from 1 species
AUACGUAGGGGGCAAGCGUUAUCCGGAUUUACUGGGUGUAAAGGGAGCGUAGACGGUUUGGCAAGUCUGAUGUGAAAGCCCGGGGCUCAACCGCGGGACUGCAUUGGAAACUGUCAGACUUGAGUGCAGGAGAGGUAAGUGGAAUUCCUAGUGUAGCGGUGAAAUGCGUAGAUAUUAGGAGGAAUACCGGUGGCGAAGGCGAAUUACUGGACGAUAACUGACGCUGAGACACGAAAGCGUGGGGAGCAAACAGGAUUAGAUACCCUGGUAGUCCACGCCCUAAACGAUGAAUGCUAGGUGUAGGGGAGUCAUCUUCUGUGCCGCAGCUAACGCAAUAAGCAUUCCACCUGGGGAGUACGGCCGCAAGGUUGAAACUCAAAUGAAUUGGCGGGG